GACGAACGCUGGCGGCGUGCUUAACACAUGCAAGUCGAACGGAAAGGCCUCUUUCGGGGGGUACUCGAGUGGCGAACGGGUGAGUAACACGUGAGUAACCUGCCCUUGACUUUGGGAUAACUUCAGGAAACUGGGGCUAAUACCGGAUAGGAGCUCCUGCUGCAUGGUGGGGGUUGGAAAGUUUCGGCGGUUGGGGAUGGACUCGCGGCUUAUCAGCUUGUUGGUGGGGUAGUGGCUUACCAAGGCUUUGACGGGUAGCCGGCCUGAGAGGGUGACCGGCCACAUUGGGACUGAGAUACGGCCCAGACUCCUACGGGAGGCAGCGGUGGGGAAUAUUGCACAAUGGGUGGAAGCCUGAUGCAGCGACGCCGUGUGCGGGAUGACGGCCUUCGGGUUGUAAACCGCUUUCGCUCAUGACGAAGCUUUGUGUGACGGUAGUGGGUAAAGAAGCACCGGCUAACUACGUG
rnacentral:rRNA from 1 species